rnacentral:rRNA from 1 species
UUUCCGGUUGAUCCUGCCAGACCUGACUGCUAUCGGAUUGAUACUAAGCCAUGCUAGUCUUUGUAGUAAUACAAGGCAUACGGCUCAGUAACGCGUAGUCAACCUACCCUAUGGACGGGGAUAAUCUCGGGAAACUGAGCAUAAUACCCGGUAGACCACUUAUCCUGGAAUGGUUAGUGGUUAAAAUGAUUCGUCGCCAUAGGAUGGGACUGCGGCCUAUCAGCUUGUUGGUGAGGUAAUGGCCCACCAAGGCGAUUACAGGUACGGGCUCUGAGAGGAGAAGCCCGGAGAUGGGUACUGAGACAAGGACCCAGGCCCUAUGGGGCGCAGCAGGCGAGAAAACUUUGCAAUGUGCGAAAGCACGACAAGGUUAAUCCGAGUGAUUUCUGCUAAGGGAAUCUUUUGCUAGUUCUAAAAAUACUAGUGAAUAAGGGGUGGGCAAGUUCUGGUGUCAGCCGCCGCGGUAAAACCAGCACCUCAAGUGGUCAGGAGGAUUAUUGGGCCUAAAGCAUCCGUAGCCUGUUCUAUAAGUUUGCGGUUAAAUCUAUACGCUCAACGUAUAGGCUGCUGUAAAUACUGUAGAACUAGGGAGUGGGAGAGGUAGACGGUACUCGGUAGGAAGGGGUAAAAUCCUUUGAUCUAUCGAUGACCACCUGUGGCGAAGGCGGUCUACCAGAACACGUUCGACGGUGAGGGAUGAAAGCUGGGGGAGCAAACCGGAUUAGAUACCCGGGUAGUCCCAGCUGUAAACGAUGCAGACUCGAUGAUGCAAUGGCAUAGAGCUAUUGCAGUAUCGCAGGGAAGCCGUUAAGUCUGCCGCCUGGGAAGUACGUACGCAAGUAUGAAACUUAAAGGAAUUGGCGGGGGAGCGCCACAAGGGGUGAAGCUGCGGUUCAAUUGGAGUCAACGCCGGAA